GUAUGAUAAAGUAGGUGUAUACACAGCGCAGGAUAACAACUGCGGAUAAUGUAAGUGGGUUUUAGCCGUGUAAGCUUUCUGUCCCGUGUGUGGUAAUUCCCUUGCUUUAAGCAGUUCGAACAAGUGAUACUAGUGCUGCUGCUGUAAUUACUGCAGAGGUCAGGCCUUAUGUACCCCAGACAGUGAGAAGAGCAAAUGCGGCUCUUCUGUGGCUUGUUCCAGGCUUGCUGUUUCUCCAAGUCCGCUACAGAUCCGUUCCGGCAGCGGCAGCAUUCCAGGCAGUGUUCUGCGCCUCUUCUAAGUAACGGUCCAAAUGUGCCAAGUGGAAAAAGGGAGACUCCUACUCUGCAACUUGUCAGCAUUUUUGUGUCCCUGGUGCAGCUGUAGGCAAGCAGCCACCCAGCCCACACCAGCCAGAGACGUCAAUCCCCUUUGCCUUAGGCGAGACCCUGAGCUGCUCUGCCACGGGAAUGUGUUUCAAAUCAAAACUGCCAGGCUGAGUCCAAGCUUCAUUCAUCCAAAGAGUUGGGGCCUCCCUUUAACAGUGUUAGCACCAUCCCCAGCGUCGCACGCUGCUGGUCGCUGCGUGUGUGAUGCCUGCAGCAAUACCUCCUCUGCGUGCCCAAGUGCACGGGCUGCUCCAGGAAUAGCUCGUUGUUUAUACGCCUUUCCAAAUCCCACUGCAUUUCCCUUGGCUCCACACCAAGCUACACAGGCCUGUUCCUCCCCUGUUCCAGGCACAAGGCUUGGUGAAUGCACGGGGUGUUUAAUGGGAAGAGUAAAUCCUCUGCACCCAAGAGCAUCCCCUGCACCAGGAGAAUGACGUGGGUCCCGUGGCUUCAGCCCCAGCGUUGCAGUGGAAGGACCGUUGGCUUCAGAAAGAUCUUGAUCGGUAAAUCCUUCCCCUCGUGGUGAGAUAAAGUCAAGCAUCUUUGAUUUAUAUUUCCUUGCUACAUUACUUCAUGCCUAUGCAAUGUCUCCAUGGACAUGUAUUAAAUUCUAAAUGCUUGCGAUACAAAUAACGAGAAAAAGUAGAUUUUAUUCCUGGAUGAGCGCUGGCCGUUUCCAUCAGCCUCGACCCCUUCAUCGCCACCCGUGUGAUGAAGAGCCAUCCACUAGAGAGCAGUGUCACCCAGCCCUCGGCGCCCAAAAGCCAUCACACCACCCCAAACCCAGAGCAGGAGGGACGCAGCCCAGGACCUGCACCUUGCAGGUGGGCUCCCCCCCGCCGGGGGCAGGGGCCAGGGGCCAGGGGCCGCCUGCUCCCUGGCGUGGCGAAGGGUGGGAUGUCACCGCGCCGGCGGACACCCUGCUCGUGUCACAGCUCUCCGCGCGUCCGCUGGGUACGGCGCGCCAGCCGAGCGACCUGCGCCCGGGCUUC